UGGGGAAUAUUGGACAAUGGGCGAAAGCCUGAUCCAGCCAUGCCGCGUGUGUGAAGAAGGUCUUCGGAUUGUAAAGCACUUUAAGUUGGGAGGAAGGGCAGUAAGUUAAUACCUUGCUGUUUUGACGUUACCGACAGAAUAAGCACCGGCUAACUCUGUGCCAGCAGCCGCGGUAAUACAGAGGGUGCAAGCGUUAAUCGGAAUUACUGGGCGUAAAGCGCGCGUAGGUGGUUUGUUAAGUUGGAUGUGAAAGCCCCGGGCUCAACCUGGGAACUGCAUCCAAAACUGGCAAGCUAGAGUACGGUAGAGGGUGGUGGAAUUUCCUGUGUAGCGGUGAAAUGCGUAGAUAUAGGAAGGAACACCAGUGGCGAAGGCGACCACCUGGACUGAUACUGACACUGAGGUGCGAAAGCGUGGGGAGCAAACAGGAUUAGAUACCCAGGUAGUCCCUGAGCGGGCUGGCAAGGCGCAU
rnacentral:rRNA from 1 species